UCUAAAAGUGUAUAGAGUUUCUUAACAAUUUUGGUUGAAGCCGCCUUUCGCCGCCGCAUCUCCAUCGUUUUCGGCAGCGAGCUCUUGGCCAAAGGGACGAGCUCUCCUCCUUCUUCUCUCGGUUUCCUCUCAUUUCAGAAUCUCUUUUCUCUUGUUCUCCAGCCGACUUAGGUCAAGGAGAACUGCCAGCAAGCUCUGCAAAUUCCGAAGAUACUCCGGCGAUGUUCCAGUCACCAUUUCUGGCCACGGCUAUUUCUAUCAUCUCUCUCCUUAAUUCCGAUGCAGCGGAAGAAGGCAAUUACUAGGAAAAGAGUAGCACCGCCUUGACAGCUACCUCCUUCUCCAAAGGAGUAGCCUUCCUCUUCAUUUGAGGCUGAGGCGACUGUAUCAUCUUCUACGUCUUCUUCCAGUGCAUCAUCUAUGGACGCACAGGGCCCCAUUGAUAGAGCAGUUCCUGAUCCGUAUUUUUCAAAGAGAGAUCAGGAGCUUGAGCAUACUUUUGAGAUAUAUUUCUUUGCCCAGUCAGAGCAGACUAAGUGGGCCUAGGAUGAGAUGAAAUGGUGAGGCAUUGCUGAUAUUCAUACGCCGAUCAGCGGCACGGUUUAUCCCGUGGUUGCAUUAUUCUACCAGCACCUCCGGCGAGAUGAGGAUGACCCAUAGAUCUUUCAUACUAUUAUAGAUGGGCAGGGCAUUGUCAUUUUUACUAUCUUCGUAGAGAUAGCCUCCCGAUGCCCCUACAUGUCUCCAGUGGUCACAGAGACUGAGAAGCCCUUAUAUCCUAUUAUUACAGAGUAUCCUUCAGAGAUGGAUAUAGUUGUUUCUUUCUCUCCUCAAACAGCUUAUUUAGGCAACCCCCAUGCCGAGCGAGUGGACAUUCCAUCCAGAUUAUGGUUCAUCGACACAGUGCUCUUCCGCAAUGCUUUUCCAUCUAGGCAUAAUACUUAGAGGUGGGAGGGGAUUCUGAAAGCCAUGUAUAGUUUUAAUCAGGGAUGUUGGGUGUCAAUUCCUUCUCUUAUCUGGGAGAUUAUUCACAAGUACUGGGAGAACUUGGUGUUUAAGCGGAGUGAGAAAACAAAGUCCUGGUCAUUACCCAUUGGCCACUUAAUCACACAGAUUAUAAAGAACCAGGGCUUUCAAAUUGGCCCAGCAGAGGAGUUAGAGCCUGCCAUUAAGAUGAAAAAAAGGAAGUAUGGUGCUACUCAGUGGAAAAGAAGCUACAAUGCCUGUCAGACCAAUAUGAAAAGGGCUAUGUUGAAGAGGCUUCAGACUGUAAAUUCAUAGGAAGGUUCACCUACCUUUUCCAGGCCCAGAUCUAGACAGCGCACUACUUCCAGUACAUCCCAUUAUCCUCCCACAAUAUCCCAUUUCCAGAUGAGCACCUCUUCAGCUCCACCUUUAGCAGCUCAGACAGGCCAUCCUCUCAGCAUGCUAGCUCUGAGUCUAGUUUCCGAGGCGAUAUUACACAGCUCCAUUCUGAUCUCAGAUCAUUUAAUCCUUGGAUGUUUUAGCGAGUUGCUAAUGUUGAGAAAGGUAUUACCGAUGCUAGGCGAGACAUUGCAUUCCUCAGGGAUAAUGUUGCACAGAUCCGUUCAGAGAUAACCAGUUUUCGAGGUCAAUAAGGUUCAAACGGGAUAAAAAUAGCUUAUUAAACCCUUUUUGGAGUCAAGAAGAAGUUCCAAAAAAAGUCAAAAAAAGU